rnacentral:misc_RNA from 1 species
CACCCACCCACACUGAAAACCUUCAUAUAUACCAAGAAAUUGUUGUGUCUUUUACAAUUAUCAUCAUGGCCGCACUUAAGAUGGUUAGCUUUCUUGUUCUAUGCAUGUUGGUGGCAGCUCCAAUGACUGAACAAGCUAUAACAUGUGGUCAAGUAACAAGCGCCCUCACCCCAUGUAUUAGUUACCUCAGGACUGCCGGGCCAAACCCUCCGGCACAAUGCUGCACUGGGGUGAAGACCGUCAACAGCGCUGCCAAAACCACCGCCGACCGCCAAGCGGCUUGUCAGUGCUUGAAAUCAGCUGCUGGCAGCGUCAAGGGGCUUAACCCCACCACCGUAGCGGGUCUCCCUGGUAAAUGCGGAGUUAACAUUCCUUACAAGAUCAGCCUGUCCACAAACUGUGCCACCGUCAAGUGAGGUGCAUAGAGCGGGAUUUUGGGUCCAGAGAUGGUAUAGUUUGGGAAGAAUAAUAAUAAAGGCUCAUCAGCUGUGUGUAGUUCAGUUGAGAACGAGUCUCUGUCUCCACUUUAGCGAGGCUCCUUCUUCUUACCUAGUGUAAUUUUUUCAGUUUAGUCUCUUUUGUGUGGCUGUCUUUGGGCCCUUUCUGCCUCCUGUGUCAUAGAUGAGAUCCAUAUAAGUCUAUCUUUUUAUAUAUAUAUAUAAUAUAUAUACAUGCUACUUUAUUCUAUUUUUUCUGUAGAAACUGCACUCCUUAUAUGUAUGUACUUUAUUAUAAGAUAAAUUCACAGUAAUGAUGGCUCUUAGAAAAUUCUGCACGCAAAUCCCGUUGAAUCACAAUUACGAGAAUCCAAUAUACAUAAUUAUUUGUUUUUAUUUAUAAAAUAUUUCACAAUUUGUUGAUAAAAACUAUAAAAUUAAUAAAAAUAUUUUUAUAUUUUAAACUGUCAAAUUAGAGCCAAUUGUAAUACUACAAUAAAUAAAUAAAUAUAAGAAUUCAUUAGAAAGAAACUAAAAAAAUAAAAUAAAUAAAGAAAAUUUGGAGGCAACAAUCAAUGCACCAGUGAGAAACUCACUACUGACCCUUCAAAAGAGUGAUCUGAAGGAGAAAAAAAAAAAAAGCUGAUUAAUGAUGAAUUACUCAUAUAUGUUUAGUAAAAUUUUUAUUUAGACGCGAUUUAUUA